rnacentral:rRNA from 1 species
AGGACGAACGCUGGCGGCGUGCUUAACACAUGCAAGUCGAGCGGUAAGGCCUUUCGGGGUACACGAGCGGCGAACGGGUGAGUAACACGUGGGUGAUCUGCCCUGCACUUCGGGAUAAGCCUGGGAAACUGGGUCCAAUACCGGAUAUGACCUCCUAUCGCAUGGUGGGUGGUGGAAAGAUUUAUCGGUGCAGGAUGGGCCCGCGGCCUAUCAGCUUGUUGGUGGGGUAAUGGCCUACCAAGGCGACGACGGGUAGCCGACCUGAGAGGGUGACCGGCCACACUGGGACUGAGACACGGCCCAGACUCCUACGGGAGGCAGGCAGGUGGGGAAUACUGCACAAUAGGGCGAAAGCCUGAUGCAGCGACGCCGCGGUGACGGGAUCGAACGGCCGUUUACGGGUUACGUAAACCCGUUCGUUUCAAGGACGAGGGAACGAAGCGACGAAGU